GGGAGAGAGAGAGACAAGCGGAGGCUGGGGGCUGGUGAACUCAUCGAGAUAUCCUUCGUUAUGAUUGUGAACUUGGCAGCGAUUGUUUAGCGUAAAUAAUCACGGUCGCCAAUAACCAGUAACACCUGCCAGCCCAUUACCCGGAACAGGAGGAGAAGACGGGCAUCUCCAGCGAAAUUCCACCGCGGCAAUAUGGAAGUAUUUAAAGGAAGACCUGCACCGCUCAGGGUAGCAGAGAUCUGAACUUUUAAAUUACAGCCAUUCCCGGCCUGACGAUAAGUAAAUAAACAAUUCACAGCUGCAUGGGCUAAACACAGAAACACAUCUAUCUCUUCCAGGCGUGAUUGCUGAACAAGUAAUUAAGUGCGAAAUGUGAGCCCUCAAUGUCAGUGUGAGAUGAUAAAGGUCUCCAGUUGUAAAUUAACUGAACUCCAGUGAGCCCUCGAUAUUAACCCUUCAGGAGCCCUUGGGUGGCAAUGGGUGCGUUAGCAUGACUCCGGUGCAAUUUGCGUGCAAUUAUUCCUGACAUUUGCCCCUGGGAAUAUGGAGCUGUUAUUCUAACAAAUUAAAAAAACAAGUGAGGGAGUUGCUUUCUCUCUUCUCUCUGAGCUAGCACAGGGCACCCCGUAAGACAGGAGAUGUAGUCCCAGUUCAUGUCUCUGCCACGCUCGUCCAUCACAUUCCCCUGUGGCAGUCUUCCUCCUGGCGAUAGCAGAGGUGUCACAAAACCAAAAUACAUUAAAGCCUGUGAGCUGCUCAAGCACCGAGAUAAAGAGGACUGCUAACUCAGAUGGGCAGAUAUCCAUCAGUGCCUCGAAAUCAGUACACCACGAUUCACCUUGAGAAUAAGGAUCCAAUGAAUGACCAUAAAUUGAAAUAUCACCACUUGUUAAACAAUCCAAUCCUGGCUGAAGCCAAAGCUACACAGUCCAUCUGAAAUCCCACCUGCAAUUCUGCAACCGCUUGUUGUGUAAAUAAGUGAAGCUGCUCCUCCCAAAGUGUUUUUUAGCUGGUGUCCUUGGGGAUUUAAGGCUUAUGCAAUCCUUGUGUCUGUGUUGUAUCUGUGUAUCCAUCUGUCAAAUUUGAUCAAUGAGCCAGAGUCUCCCAAAAUAUUAACUUCCUACAUGUUUCAUAAAAAUAGUUAGGGCAGAAAUUUGCAUUAAUGUCUUCCUUAAAGGGAAAGCUGGGGUGGAUGUCCAUGCUGUAGAAAUAAUAUGCAAAUCCACAGGGCAAGAAAUUAGGCUCACAGCACAAAUCCUUAAUUUUUCUCAUAAAACGACAUGCUUAAAAAAUAGCUAUAUAAACAAGAAGUAGAAAGACCUGCAAGUUUCAGCCUGGUACAGGCUGUGAAGUCAGGCAGUGGUUUGGGGGUGCCAGUACAUAUAGGCUGGCAUGAGCACACAUUUAAGUUGUGUGUACUCCUAAAGGGCACAGGCAAAGCUGGCCGUAUUUUCUUCUCUGGAAGAUGCAUUUUGCAGAGACUAAUUUUUUCUAAGGGAGUCAUAAAAGAAACGUAUAGAUGAUAACGAACAGAUUCUCAGCUGUGUCAAACCCUGGAACACUGCUAUGGAAAUGUGAAGAGCUGUAGAGGUUCAACAUCUUUGAAAAUCUGAUAUAUUUCUGAAUAUUUCUAGUCAGCUUCCUCCACCAAAGGGAUAUGAAAUUUUCCAAAUCUGUGCCAAACUCUGACGUUCACGAACUGUUUCUCAAGUGGAUUUGGAUGAUGUAACCAAUAAUCAUGAAACUCUCCUCCACUUUCUAAAUUACAUCUGGUUGAGAUGAGUUUCUAUACGGAUAAUACAAUGAAAAUGUGAAAGACUAUAUUUGUUCUAAACCUUAUUAUGCAGUGUGUUACAACAUAAAAGUCCCUAUGGUAACAUGGCAUAAUCUAAAGCAACUGCGUGUUCACACACGAGAGAUCCUACAGUUUUGCCAUUUUGUUCUUAAUUACCCCUGGUGAAUAAACUAGUUGAAAGACUGAGCCAACUUCUCCAUCCUCAAAAUCAAUGGAGCAAUGCUGAUUUACAUCAGCUGCAAUCCUUGACUGCAGUUUACAAAAUAGUUAUCAAUUAAUUUCCUGCAUCAUUUCUCCAGAAGCACAGUGGAAGUGCAGUCUGACUUUUUUUUGACCUCCAAUGCAGCAAGUUAUCUUCAUGCAGAAAUUAUUUAAGCACAUGUUUAACUGCAAGCAAAUGGUUAAACAUGUCUUUGAGGUUCAGAUAUGUGCCUGAGUGUUGUUAAAAUGGGACAUUGGGGGAAGCAUCCACCUGGUUUGUAUGUUCACUCAAGAAGAUGAUCUUUGCACAACCGACAAAGGACUUACCAGCUCUUAAUGAUAAUAAUGCCUCUCGUUGCUUCUUUUGGCAAUAAUUUUGCAAGUCUCUCUCAGAAGAAUUAGAUCACAGUCAGUCCCACCUUAACUACAUAUUUGCUAGCUGAAUAAACAGGAUGAAAUUGGACCGAUGGUCAAGUCUGCUGGCAGAAUCGAGCGCUUUCAGUGCUGUAAGACUGGUUCCAAGGGUGCAGGGUAUUCAACCAGCCUCUCGCAUCCCAGGUUUUGCCCUCUGCUAAAAUUAUGUCCCAGCAAAUGUUUUCAGUGCUGCCCUCACCAUCGCUACCAGUAAUGUGCAAACCAGAAAGACAAAUUCAUUCAUAUUUUAAAUAGCAAUCUCAGCAAUAUUAAUUGCACAAUAAAGAAGAAUUUGUUC